GGAUGAGGGUACAGAGAAUCCCUGAGCAGAAUCCUGGGUGUUUGUUUCUUUCCUGUGGUCCUGCCCUGCCCAGGCCUCUGAGAAAUGCAGAGCCUUUCCUCUCCCCAUCCCUCCCUCUCCCUCAGAGGUGAUUUUGAAAGGUCUCAGCUUCUUAUGCAUACCCCUUGGGGUCAGGAGGACACCAAAGCCAGAUGACCUUUGAUUUAGAAGCAUAAUGCGACAAUUCUUGCACCUGAGUGCCGUGGGACCCAUUCACUCCUUCCUGGCCCCAAGCAGCUGACGCAGGAGGCCUAAGUUUUAAUUGAUAUAGACUUGAAAUAUUCAAAGAGCUAAGCUAUCAAAUCCAUCUUGUUCUCUGCAUUUUUCUUAUAACACAGAGUAUGCCCCAGUGUUGAAUAACCAUGCCGGGGACAGCAGGAAAGGGACUCACGGGUUGUGAAUUUACAUGUGACGUCAGAAAGGCUCUGUAGACAGGAGGCGGGAUGUGCGCCUGGCCAGCACCCCCCACCCCGCCUCCAUGCGCAGUGAUUACAGGCUGGAUGGCACGUAGUGAGCCAGGCGAGGUCACCUUUGCACAAGCGGAGUGACUUUUCCCCCAAUCUCAUACCAGUCUGGCAGCAUGUAUGAAAAGAACGGUGAGAGAAGCUGUUUUAUGCAUUUCUAAAGGAAGCAGAGAAAUUAUUUUUUUGACAUUUGCCUUCUGGCAGAGCUGGGACCAAUGAGUGGGAGGUGGAUUUUGGCGGAACACAGGAGGAAUUCUCUUAGUCAGAGCCAUCCAAAAAUGGAAAGACCUGACUCAGAAGACAGCGUGUCCCCUGCCUGCAUAAGGUCCUGGUGAGGUCCUGUCAAGGGUGCUCUGCCCUGUGCUUUGACAGGUGUGUGCGGAGAUGAAAGAUGAGGAUGUCAAGACUUGGAGUAGGUGACAGUUGGCCUUGGGCUUCGGUGGCCAACCCAUGACUACAAAAGCCCGAGAAGCCAGCAGCUUCCCCGGCUCCUCCACCAAGUGGCCUCUGGGUGAUGGGGAAGCUUGUCCUCUGCUUUGUCACACACAAAACUCUAAAAGUCAGCAUCCCAACGCAUCGGCCUGGAGAGCCCGUCCAGGAGGAUUUAUGUGGAAUCUGGCUUUUCUGAUAGCAUCGACGUUCCUUCCCGUGCCUUCUGAGUCUGUUUCUCUUAAUUUGACUGUGGUCUCUGCUCUUCGCUGGACUCAGGGAGAUGUCACAAAUUCUGCACCAGAAUCUCACAAAUCACAAAGAACUUACUCAUGUAACGAAACACCACCUGUUUCCCAGUAACUAUGGAAAUAAAAAAAAAUUAAUAAUAAAAAAUUUAAAAAAUAAAA
rnacentral:lncRNA from 1 species